GCAAGGGUGUCUCUACGUGGAUGCAGGAUUCGAUGAAUACCGUUCCACAAUUGGGGUUGGUGACGCCACGCAGAGAACGACAGGGACGCACUUGUAGGGGAUGAUCGGUGAUGGCUCUGCGAUGAAUGGGGCGCAGGGCUCCUCCUUAUACGGGUUGAUGUCGAUGGUAAAGCUAUGCGUUUCCCUCACAAUGAUGGACGAGACGAAAAACGUACAAAUUGGUAGGUAGUAAAAAUCGGCUAAAAAUAAUAGUUUACCAAUAAGGGCUGGGAAUAACAAAACAAGAUGUACAAACCUCUAAAGAUCGUAAACGAGCCAAAGUAUCAAGCCGAUGACCAAUGUGCUUCCAAAAUCCGCUUGGCGAAACUCCAAAAAUAUUACCACGAGAACCAAAAACGUCUCCAAAAUUGGGUAACAAUUAGAAAAUAUUUACUUCAAUGUGUGAAGAUCCUUAUAAUUAAUUAAGAUGAAAUUUUUACACAAAUGAAGAUUGGCACACUGGACACGACCAUGCCAGAAUCAAAAGUGACC